GUGAAAUUCUACAGGUGUGAGUGGAUUAAAUAAGUCACCGGGCUUUAAGAGAGAGAGCCGAAUCUGAACGAGCUCGCCAAAACGUGUGCUAUUUAUAAAGUUUAAGCGGCCUCGCUUGGUUUAAACGCAAUGAAAAAAGACAGGUAAAAUUGAAUCCGAGAAAUAAAUCACAAGCCUACGAUCCCGUUCCACUAGGCAGCUAGGAGGUUGGUUUCAUAUCUCCAGAGAGCCUGCACAACAAUGUGCUCAACCUCAUGCUCAACAGGUCUUCCGUUAUAAGGCGAAUAAUACAAUACCUACUCCGACCCGCUAACGUGUGAGAUUGCAGAACUCGCCACCGCAUACACCUUUCUCUAGUGAACCAAAUAUACAGUUAAGAAACAAUUAACUUGUGAAUCUCCAACUCAACUAACGUUUACAUUUUUAGAGAGAGAGAAUGAGACUUACAGCUAAUAAACCAGAAAAUACAUUAAAAAUACAUCAAGAAUUGGUACGCUAAACAUUAAAGGGAGUCAACUCUUCGUGAAUUACAUUUCAAAAUAACAUUUAAUAUAAACAGGACAAAACACUGGUUCUUAAAUAUAUAACAAGAACAUCACUGUCAAUGAAUCUGAAGUGGUACACGCUUAGAAAAAUAACAGCAUUUAAUUGGUCUAAAAAUAUAACAUGAAAGGGGUGUCUGUAUAUCUUGAAAAAAGAGAAGAAAAUAGCAACAUCAUUAAAGUAUUUGAUCUAAGAAAUGAAACUCAAACAUCAGACACACCUCUUUGUUAAGUAUGUAUACAUUUGUACAUUCUUUCAAACUCAAAACAUAGAUUAUUAAUUGUAAAUGAAAUAAUCAAUGUACAA